AUGUUUCUAUUUUGAGAAGAAUUUUUCUGAAUGGAUUUGUGAAUUUCUUUUUUUUCUAGAACUUGGAAGAAGAGUUGGUAUUCAAUCUAUGAUUAUUGUGUGAUUUUCAAUUUGAAUUUUAUUGGUUUUGUUUUCCAUUCAAGUACAUGGAUUUUCUUGGUGUCUUUGUCUAUUUGAAGUAAAACUUAAAAUGAUUUGUUAAAAGAAGCCAAAACCUUUAAACUAGUACCAUCCAAAAACUCAUUAAUAAAUUGAUUUGGAUCUUUACUUUGCAUGUUGUUGAUCAAUGGUCAUUUUCACUUGGUAAGUUUUGGCUUAAUGUGUUAAUUCUUUUGGAUUUAAUUUUGAUUUUUUCUAAAUUUAAUUUAAAUUUUUUAGAUUUGAGAUGAAUGUGAUGACGAAGAUGAUGAAGGUAAAGAAAGAAGAAGAUGAAGAUGAUGAAGGAGAAUAGGGAAGAAGAUGAAGUUAUAUCAAAAUUAUUAUGUGUCAAUAGUUUAUUGAAGAAGAUGAAGAUGAUGAAGGAGAAUAGGGAAGAAGAUGAAGUUAUAUCAAAAUUAUUAUGUGUCAAUAGUUUAUUGUUACAUUCAGUAGACUAUCAAUUUCUAAUCUUGUGAUAUUUAUUAAAAAGAUCUAAUGAUUAAAAUUUUAACAAUAAUUAAUAAAUGUUAUGGUAGGCCCUCAAUAAUAUUGUCUCACAAAAUAGUUUUUGAGGGACUAAAAUAUAAUAUUUAUUAAAUAAGGGAUCAAAGUGAAAACUUAAAUUAUGUUAAAGGAUCAAAAGAUGAAUUAAGUUAUAUUUUUU
rnacentral:lncRNA from 1 species